rnacentral:lncRNA from 1 species
GAUAAAAAGUUAAAGAGAUAUGGUUGUACUUUAUAAGUAGUUGGCAGCAAUAACACAGCAAUUUCAAAAACAUUACAACAAGGUUACAUUCAGUGUUUGUGAUCAUUUUAACUUUAAUAUAUUAAAAAUUGCUUGAGAUAAGACCUUCAAAAAUCAAAAAACCUAUGGCCAUUAAAGGUCUUAAAAUUGGUCUGGAAUCAACUGUAAAGGAAUCACAUAAAUUCUCAACUCUAUAGAAUGAAAUAAAGCCUUGUAUGUGUUUCAUUGAAAUGUAAACAAGUCACACGAUACCUUUGUUGUGGUCUGUUACUCAACAAUAUAGAAGUCAAGUAAUAUCAGAUUAUACAAUAGUCUAAGAA